rnacentral:lncRNA from 1 species
CUACGUUUUCUGCACCAGCUCCAUGGAGUGCGGCUGGGCUCCGAGAGCCCCCUCCAGCUGGGACCUGCUUGUAUGCAGGUUUACAGAGUCUGUGGCUUGAUAAUUAACUGGCUCAGUUGUCUGUCCCUGCUCUGGAGACCUCCCAGUGCCAGCUCCCACGUCCCUCUCUCAUCCUCACGUCCUGCACAGCUGGGUGGCAGAAUAACGACUUCAUUAAGCACAUCCUGCUUUGGUUCUCCAAGGACAUCGGUCCAUUAGGAAGACUAAUCUGCCAACAGCAGCCACACUGCUGGUCCAGCAUGUGGAGACCAGUGAGGGGGCCCUGAAAAGAUAGGGUGGCCUAGACUCAAGCUGCCACCUGUAGGGUGUUCCAGGCCUCCUUCGUGGAGUGAGGUAUGUAAGCACUGCCUCCAUCACUCACCUCUCCCCACAGUUGAGCUAGGGCUCUGCCUCUGAGCCUGGAGGGUCUGGCCUGGACAUUAGGAAGAUCUGGUAAGGACUUAUGUCCAGGGACUUGCUUCCGAGCUACCCAUUGGGUGGAGACAAGGGAAAGGUAGAGUUGGGAGGGGGAUGUUUAAAAAUGGAUGCCGGGCAGAGCCUGGAGGAAAAGUCUCAAGAGCCUUGGGUCAGGAAGUGGUUACUCUUUUGUGAGGGGCUUUCCUUUGUGAGGCCUUCACUGUUUACCUGAAAGCCCUGCGCAGCCAGGACUCGUCUGGCCCUGGGGAAAGACAUGGGCUUCAUGCUGGAAUGAGUGGUAGAGAUGGCUGGUCUGGCCAGUGUGGAGCUUAGCCAGCCAGGCCUCUCCUUCCCUUUAUUGCCUUCAUCCUCAGGCAGGCCACCCUUCCUUGAUGUCCACAGGCAGCAAGCUGGUACCCCAUCUGACUCCAAGUUCCAUGCUGGCUCUUGCCCAGCACUGCUGCAGUCAUAUGACUCAAACAUGCAGGCCAGACCUAUUGGAGGGAAGUGUGGACCUAUAGGAGAGGUCUUUGUCACCAAGUGAAAUCAGAGGCAUGCCUUCCUCCAGAAGUCUGUGUCAGGGUGUUGAGUCAGAGUGCUGAGUCAGGGUGCUGAGUUAGAGUUUGUCAGGGUGCUAAGGAGUUAUGCCCAGGGUUGUGUUCCUAGGGUGCCAUGUCAAGGUGCUGUCUGCAGAAUGCUGUCCUUAGGAUGAUGUCCCUUAGGGACAUCAGGAACAGAUUCUCAGGGAUACUGUCUUCAGUGUGCUCUCCCCAGGGUGCUGCCCCCAGGGUGUUAUCCCCAAGUGCCUCAUCCCUGUCCCUUCCACUCCCAUCACUUCAGCCAAGCCAUCAGUGUGAGUUGGGGUUUUUUCAUGUUUAUGCAGACCUCUAUUCUUUUACUACAACUGUUUUUUGGUGCCAAGGAAGGUAGUACUGUCUCUCACAAGCCUUGAAAUCCCUUGAGCCAUGGGGUGUCAUUCGUAAAAUUCUGCAACCUGCUUCUUUUUGUUGCUCAACACGAUUUUUAGAUUUGUUCAUUUAAUGUGCUGCAUAGUAUUUCAUUGGGUAAAUAGACAAUUGUUUGAGUUUUUCAUUGAAUAAGUAGACAAUUUGUAUUCCUUGUUUCACUGAGCUGAGCAGUUAGGUUUCUUCUCAUUUUUCUCCAUAAAAGAUGUUAGUGGUUAUGGGCAUUCUUAUCAUGUAUGGGCUUAGUAAUAAGUCUCUGGGUCGUGGGGUAGAGAAAUCCCUGUACUUACGUACAUACCUACAGUAUAAGAGCCAUCCAGUGUUCUAAGUGGCAGGCAACUGCCCUGUAGGCACUCAAUAAAUGGGCAUCAAAGAAGGCUGGAGCAGGAGGAUCACAGGUUCAAGGCCAACUGAAUUACACAGUGUGACCCUGCCUCAAAACAAAAUUAAGCAAGCACACACAGGCACCAGUACACACACACACACACACACACACACACACACACACACACACACACACACACACACAGCUCUAACAACACAACAACAAAACCCAAACAAAAUGACAUCAGUGAGAUUUCUGGCUGUGUCUUUAGGUUCCUUUGGGCUAGGAGUCUUUUCCCUCCUGGAUUCCACCCAGCCUCUGUCUUCUGUUCACUCUUUGUCGGGACCCUUAGCAUUGCCCUCUGAUUCUUGCUCUUCUCAGAUUCUCAGUUACAUUCUCUGUGGGGUAAAUGUGGCUCUGAUGGCUUUCCUAGCUGGCAUGUAUUCAUUUUGGUCCUUGUUUGUCUUACUGAGUUUCCCGUCUUAACACUUUCAGCGUGUUCAGUCUCUUCCUCUGUAUUCUGUGAUUUCCCACCCUUGUCAAUGAGUCGUUCAUACCUGAAUGACAUAGAUGCUUCCCAUAAGCCUGUGUUCUUUCUUUACUGUCUAAUCCUUCAGUGUUCCAGGAUUUUAAAGUGCUUUGUGCUCUGGGUUACGGAUUUUAUUUUUAUUAUUUUUCAUGUUGUCCAAAAACAGUGGCACCAAUAGACUUUUCUUUCUAGAAAGUUCCACUUUUGUCAGGCAUGGUCACUCACACCUUUAAUCCCAGCAGAGGUAGAUGGACUUCCUCAAGUUCAUGGCUAACUUGGUCUACACAGUGAGUUCCUGGCCGGCUAAGGCUACAUAGUAAGACCCUUUCUCAACAAACAGGAAGACAGACAGACACUACAGUUUUCUGUCACACUUGCUAAGAAAUGAUGUGACAGUUCCUUCCCUUUAAGUCUGAGCCUGGGUCCUUCACUGCCCUGCUCUGUUCCCCCACCUCACUUUUUCAGUUGCUGCUAUUUCCGGGGACCCCAAGAGAUGUUGGGAUGAGCCCCCCACCUUUUCAUUCAGGAGCUCAGAACCCUUCUAGCUCUUCUAUUCAUCCACAUAAAUUUUAGAAUUAUCUUGUCAUGUUCUCUAAAAUUCUCUGUUGGGAUUUAGUUGAGAUUAAAUUAAAUUUAUAGAUCAAUUUGAGAGAACUGUCAGUUUUAUUACGUCAAUUCUUCUCACCCGUGAAUGUGGUAUAUCUGGCUAAUUUGCUCUGGCCUUCUUUAUGUUUUUCAAUAAGGUCUUAUAAUUUCCUGUGCAAAGAUUAUGCAUAACUUUACUAGAUUUCACCCUAAUCCUAUACAUGCAUUGUUGUAUUUUCUGGCAUCUUUUUAAAAUUAAAAAUUCUGAUAGCUGCCGUGGCAUAGGGACACAAUUUCUCUUUGUGCUCUGAUCUCUGACCUGUUCUACAACUUGCUCAACUCUUGAAUUAAUUGCACUAAGUUGUUUGAAAUUCUAUAACUCUCAAUGUCAGGUCUCAUCACAUGGUGUGGGUCUUUGUUUAUUCUUUUCCAGUAUUCACAAACUGGAUUUCCUUUUCAUGUCUUGCUGCACAAGCUAAGACCUUUAGUGCUGUGCUGAAUGGACAUGGAGGGAGUGGGUGUCCCUCGUGUCCCUGGUAAAAACCACAAUGGGUCUAACCAUGAAUUGGGGCUUUACAGCAGAUUUCUCCUCUUAUAUUGAACCUCUAUGGUUUCUCUUUGGUUCUUCACUAAGAGUUUCUAGCCAGGCAUUGGUGGUGCACACCAUUAAUCCCAGUACUCAGGAGGCAGAGGCAGAAGCAGGUGGAUGGAUCUCUGAGUUUGAGGCUAGUCUGGUCUAUAAAGUGAGUUCCAGGAUAGCCAAGGACUACAUAGAGAAACCCUGUCUUGAAAAACAAAAACCAAGCGAGCAAGCAAGCAAGCAAACAAACAAAUACAAACACCAAAUAAAAAAAGAGUCCCUGCUGUGUGUUACUAUUGCUGAGUGUUCCAAAUCUGACCUGACAAUCGUGUCUGGAUUAUUUGCUAGAUUAUUCUAUUAUUAUUAUUAUUAUUAUUAUUAUUAUUAUUAUUAUUAUUAUUAUCAUUAUUAUUAUUAUCAUUAUUAUUAUUAUUAUUAUUUGCUAGAUUAUUCUAUUGAGAAGUGGGGUCACUGUGUGACACCGAGGCAUGCUUGGCUGGCACCUCUGGUUAGUCCUAAAUUAAAAGCAAGCUAAUACUACAGAAGCUGUCCACUGUUAACCAUGUCCUGGACACGUGGGCUGGCCAUCAUAGUCACAUUGUUGGGCUCUCACACUGGCUGUGAAGACUAUGGUCCAACUUCCCACAGGUCUGUCAGUCUGGUAUCCUAGGCUGGGUAUCAUAGACACAGUGGCUGUUGAACAUUGUGGGCCAGAGAACAACUUUCACAUCUGGCUGUGGCUGUCUCUGCAUCCCAAGCCUCUAACCAGGAGUGACUCCAUUUUGUUCCAUAUCAAGGUCAGGGCUCCUGUUUUCACCCUUACAGGGCCACCAGGACCUAAGCCCCCUCCCUUCCAAGCCCCAGACACUUGCCUCUCUGGCCAUGUCCCUUACCUCCAUUUUUAAAGUCAAUUCUCUGUAUUUACUUUAUAUUUUGUUUUAUUGGUUUUUUCAAGAUAGGGUUUCUUUGUGUAGCAUUGGCUGCUCUGGAACUUUCUCUGUAGACCAGGCUGGCCUCAAACUCAGAGAUCUGCCUGCCUCUGCCUCCCAAGUGCUGUCAUUAAAGGCCUGUGCCACCACCCAGGCCCAGUUCUCUGCUUUUAAAGAGACACUUGUCGUAUUUUGUCCUGUUUUUGCUUGUCAGCUGCAGGGGGUCUUCGAUUAUUUAGGGGUUGAGCUGGCAGAUGAGUCCUAGUAUCUCUGAAGGAAGGGCUUCUUUUAUGUUCCUUCAGGAGGAACCCUUGACAGGUCCUGCAGAGCAAUCUACCUGGGUCUGGUCAAUCAGAUUCAGAUGUAACUGCAAAGGCUUGCUGAAGUUCUGAUAGAUUUUCUUUAGCAAACCCUUGGUGCCCACCAGUAAUGGAGAAUCUAUGGUGAGUUGCUUCAAACAUAGCUACAAUUUGGCCCUGUUUCAUCCUGUACACCUGUACCAAAAAUAUCUAUGCUGGCUCUUCUCUCAGAGCCUCACAUCUUGGCUAUGUGAGGCAACAUUUCCCACAAAGGCCUAAGGGCUGGGUCUCCUUCCCAGCCCCUGGCUCUGGGCUGGCUGAGACCUGUCUUGGUGGUAGAGUGUGUUGGCUUCCAGCCUUAGCUUCCAGAGGUUGAUCUGUACUCAAGCUGUGAGAACCAGCCCUGGCUGGCCUACAUGUGGAACCGACUGCUGGCUCAGUCCACCUCCACCCCGAGCCCUAUUUCCAACAGUGUUGCUAAAAAUCCUUCCCUUGGGGAGAUCACCUGCCCCUCCUCUUACAAUCCGAAAGACAAACCAAGAUGUGAUCCACCAAGGUUCAGAGAAACCAAGGAGUUUGUUAGGCUUACUGACAGCCAACGGAUGAGGGGUUAUAGGCAAAGAGCAUGGAUGACCUUAAACAGUGACCAUCUACGACCAGUAGAGGUGAUGAUUUCCCUGUGAGGAUGGUGCCCACUCCCUUAAUCCUGCCCUGAAAGGACUCUAGCCAGCUCAAAGAUGGCAAACAUGGCUAUAGCAGGCCUUGCCCUUCUCCAUUUCCUCUGCCUUGCUAAAACAUUAGAUUACAUUCCUAAAGCUAGCCCCAAGAUCUAUUCCCUUCUUUGGCCACUUCCUCAUCCUGAUGAUGACUACCAAGGUCCAACUAUCAAAGUAUAGAAGUCCAGCAAUCAGAAGCCCCCUUUGGCUCACCUAAUUAACAUGCCCAAUCAAAAUUAAACACCUUAUCCUAACUCGGGGUUUCCCCCUUUACCCUCAUAAACAGCCAUUUGUUUAUGGGUCACAUCUGUCUCCUCUCUAUCCAGAGGCAGUCAUUUGUCUCCCUCCAGGACAAAUACUUCUUCCUCUUCUCCCUUGUCCAUUAUCUCCUGUCGUCGUUUUUUUUUUUUUUUUUUUUUUUUUUUUUUUUUUUUUUUUCCUGCCCUCUGUCCCUCUGGGGCAAAUAAGAACUUGUGCUGAGAACUUGGUUUUGGAGUGUCUUGAGCCAACUUUAAGGUUUUCUGCAUUCAUCACCUAUAUCCUCUAGCCCCUCCCAGAAGCCCCAAGGCCAUGUGCAAUUAGGGCAGAAUUGCAUACCACUGCCUGGGGUGGGGACUGGAUACUCAGGUGAGGGGACUCAUGAGCCUCCUCACCCCCUCCUUCUAAGAGGGAAGGUCAAUAGUCAACACGCCCAACUGUGAUGCUCAUUACCAAGGGGGCCCAGCCAGAUUCUCGAAGAUGGAGGCAGUCCUGUACAAUAGACGACCAGCUGCAGAGAGUGAAUGUGCAUAGACAAAGCCAUCUGGGAACAGUGGACCUAAAGACCCCUUUGGGGAGCUGAUGCCAGAAUCCUGAGCUAAAUAAAUGGUGAUCACACAAGCCAGUGUACUUUGGGGAUCAUCUCUUACAUAGCAAAAGCUGACAAGAAGCUUCAGAGUUUGUCCCCAGGAUCUGUUGCAUCUCAGUGUCACCAGUGGUCAUGGCCACUCUAUACUAUCCUGGGUCUUAUACAGUUUCAUGGUCCCCUAUGUUCUUCUGCUCAGCUCCUGGAUCACAGAUGAGCUAGCCAUUGGCAUAUAUCCAGAGCAUAGGGAAUGCCACCUUUGAAAGCAAGAACAUGCCCAAUCUUGAGUUCAGGUUAUCCACUUCAUUCUGGAGCAAGAGGAUGAAGCAUCUGGCCUCCUGGGUCUGGGAGGAAUGCUACCCUUAGACCCAGCAGGGCCAGCUCAAUAUGAACCAUAAGCUGAGAGGGGGUGGGAAGGAUGCUGGGUAGUGGACAGUGACAGGCAUCCACCUUCCUGAUUUUUUUCCUGAUGCAAGCCUCUCGGGCUCAGGUGGGAGGACAGGAGAGAUGGGCUUGAAUCUCGGGAGAAGACAAAUACCGAUAAUUGGGGUUCCAGGUUGGGCUACCGAGAAGCUGGGGACCCAGACCCUGCAUAUGACUGCACUUGUCCCCAGUGCAUCCUUGGCACGUCCCUUAUGGACUCUCUGAUCAUCACACACCUGACAUCUGCCUUAAAUCCCUUUGAUGAAUUUAAUCCCACUUCUAGAGGGAAAGCCAUCCUCUUCGAGCUGGCCAGGCCCCGUAUCUGCCUUCUUGCUGGCUGAGAACACCUUCCUGCAGGCUCAUCACUCUCCUCACCUGGAGAAGCUAAUGAGCAAAGCAGAAGGGCCAGACCUUGAGGUGGUCCCAUCUCUAAUCUAGUCCUGUCCUGUGCCUAGUUUGACUUAGACUUGAAUUGUCACUGAUGUGACUUGUCCUGAGUCUGAUACCAGCCUAAACACUUUGCAAAUAUGCUAAUCUCCCUUUAUUGGUGGCUUCGCUUUUCAUAGUUUUAGUUACCUAUGGUCAACUGGGGCCUGAAAAUAUUAAAUGGAAAAUUACAGAAAUAGAUUGUUCAUGAAUUUUAAAUGAGACGAGAUCUUGUAUCACUUUGUCCUGAUCAGGCUGUGACCCACCCAUGUCCAGUGUAUGCACUACCCUCCCGUUAGUCUCUCUGUAUCACCUUGGAGAUCAGGCUGUCUGUCACAGUAUGGCAGCACUUGUCUUCAAAUGACUCUAUAGUUACCAAUGUCCCCAAAGAACAAGAGGAGUGGCACUGGCCGUUCAGAUGUGCCAAAAAGAGCCGUAAUGUAUUUUCUUUAACUGAUAAGGUGAGAUUCUUAAUGAAGAAGAAUGUCACACACCAAGGCUGCUAAGAUCUAAGGAUGAACGGAGUUUCCAGCCCUGGGAUUCUAAGAAAGGAAAAAGAAAUAUGGGUCAUCUCUGCUGUGCCACUGCGAACUACAAAACGUUAUAACCGUAGUAUAAAGUGUAUGGCUAAGUUGAGAAGGCAGCAAUUAUAAAAUAGAUAAUGUGCGUGUCUCCAGACAGUCACUGCAAGUUUGGGAGGGUAUUCUGGGAUGUAUCCUCUGUGGUUUGGGGGGCCUGCUGCAUCACCCCAAUGUCACUCUCACACCUCCUCUUUGACCAGGGUUGGGUGAGGAGAUGGAGUGAUCAAUGAAAGCCUCACAGUGAGAAGAGCAAGCAUGCAGGCCUUCCGCCUGGCACUCGAUUUGUGAUGCCUGAUGAGGUGAGCUGCUGUGGCCACAGUGACCGAGCGUCUCUCACAUGAUGCUCCUGUCCUGGGGCCACAGAAGUGAAAAUGGUGGGUACAGGUCUCACCAUCUGAGAGCCAGCAACCUCGUCAGCGAGACAGCCAAUCACCCAACACCCGGAUGGGGGAUGGGAAGAACUGUGCAAAACAGCAAGCAGCAGAAUGCAGGAAAGUUCUCCAGAGUCCUGUGUGAAUGCAGGGUGGAAACAGGAGUGGGCUAGCCUGGGCAGACUGUUGGAGCUGGCACCUCAGCUGAGAAGGUCAUUAGGAGGGGGUUUGGGAAGGGCGACCCUGAAGGCCAUGUGGCUGGAGAAUGGGCUGCAGAUCAGAAAGAGCCAAAGCUUUCAAAGAGGGUCAGAACAUAGCACAGAAAUAGCGGUGUCCGCGGCUGUUUUGAAAGAAUCUCGUUAGGGCUCUGUCAGGUUUGGUCCCACGUCCUGGUCAGUUCUCCCCACUUCACCAUCCAGCCCCCAUCCUCCAGCCCCCACCCUGUGUCUGUGCAGUGUGGGGGCCACCACUGCAUCCCACAACUCUGACUAGUGCUGGAGGUCGAUGCUGCUGGGUCUCCAUGCAUUUUCUGCAGUCUAUCCCCGAUCUGCCCAUCCUUAGAGCUUGCCACAUGGACAAGGCUGUCUCCCAAGGCUGAGAUGUCUGCAGGUGGCUGCAGGGUCUUUACUCUUGUGCUCAGAGAAUCAAGGUGGAGACAAAUGUUCCCAGGCCAUGCAGGAUGGAAGCCACAGUCUUGACUUAAGACGUUAAUUUCGCGAGCUGGCAAAGUGUUGGCCUGUCUGGCCUCUGUGGGAAGAACGAGGAGGCACCACGUAGCGGGAACAAGUUCCUGAGGCUAAAAUGAGAAGGUGGUGUGGGGUACGGGAAAGGGUCAAGAGAGGAGAUGGGGCAGAAAGUGGGGAGCCACAUGAGAACCCCAAGGGAGGCUGAGAAACCAGCAAGAAGCAGAUGACAGACUGGCCUCGCUGCCUCAGGACUCUAUCAGGUUGGGAACAGUACUUGGCUCCUUGUGCACUGCUCGGAGCUGAGGGAAAAAAGAAAAAGCGAGUCUGCAGUCUGCCGGAGGCUGCCUCCCCCACACUCUCCCUCCUCUCUGCAUGAAGACUUUUCUUUCUUAUCAAAGAUCUGUGUUUUGGUCCUAACCUUUUAAAAAUGCACAUACAUAUACAUAUAUAAUUAUUGUUUAAAAAAUGAAUGGGCCCACGGUGUACCAUUAUGCCAUCUCGGGUUUCUCUGAGGUGACGGUGUGCUUUGAGAUAUUUCUUGGUCUCUGUACAGCUAUCUCAUUCUUCUUAGUGAUAACAACGUGAUUUCCUAACAAGUCCCUGGCAGACAGUUACAUAGCUUCCAAUUCUUUCGGUUUAGUCAAAGAUAGGUUUCCUUGUGUGUUGUGCAUGUACACGUGUGUGGUGUGUGCCUGUGUCAUAAGCCCAGUAUUUGUCUUCUUUCUUUCUUUCUUUCUUUCUUUCUUUCUUUCUUUCUUUCUUUCUUUCUUCUUUCUUUCUUUCUUUCUUUCUUUCUUUCUUUCUUUCUGAGACAAGAUCUCAUUAUGUAGCCCUGGCUGGCCUGGAAUUCCCUAUGUAGACCAGGCUGUCCUCAAACACAGAUAUCCACCUGCCUCUGCCUUCUGAAUGCUGAAAUUAAAGGCAUGCACCUCUAUGUCCAGCAAAGAUGUUUUUAUUUGUUCGUGUGUGUGUGUGUGUGUGUGCCUGUGUGAGUUUCUAUGCAGCAUGUGUGUGCAGGUACCCUCAGGGGUCAGAGGAAUUAGAUCCGCUGGAACAGGAGUUACAGGCGCUUGUGAGGCACUUGGUGUAGAUGGUGGGAACAGAACCCAGGACCUCUGCAAGAGCUGUACAUGCUCUCAACCGCUGAACCUGUUCUCUAGCCCACCCUCGUCUCUUGCAAUGAAAUGGUCACUGCACCAUGUGUGUUGUCUGUGCGUGCAUUUCAUACAUGUUUGUUGAACAUUCAUAUCUGUUGUAUGUGCACAUCUGUGUCCGGUGUAUAUGUAUGCAUGUGCGGUGUGCAAAUGCUUGUGUACAUCUUAAUUUAAUAAAAAAACAGGAGCCCUAUCUCAGAGUGUGUGUGUUAUAUGCAAGCAUAUGUGUGCAUGGUAUAUGGGGUGGGUGUGUAAGCCCAGUGCCUUCCCGUCCAAUGAAGCAAGAAUGUGUAUAUAUAUACGUGUGUGCUGUGUGCAUGCAUCAUAUAUGUGCAUAUAUGUGUGAUGUGUAUGUUUCUUUUAGUAAAUAAGGAGCCCCAUCUUGGGCCCAGCUCACCAUGCCUGAGUAGCUGGCUCUGACGAGCCUGCAUAGGCCUCAGCGAUGAUAGACCAAAGUACCUGGUCAGCGAAGAUCUCCAGAAGGUCUUGGAUCUCAAAAUGGGUCAACCAGAGUCCCUCUGACACUUUACCUUCAGAGAUGAGUCAGCUGUCUAUCAGGAGGGACCCCAAGGCUGACAGCUUUUGUCGGAAAGACCUUGUCUCUACCCUUAUCACAGAGCCCCAGUGUUUUGUGCUUCUUGGUGCUUCAAGCCAGCUGCCUUGUGUCCCCUGUCUGUAUGACCCAAGAAGUUCCCUUUUCCCAUAAACCACCAUUCUGCAUCUGUAUGGUACCUGCCAUGAACCUGGUACUAGAGUUAGUAGUCAGGGCCAUGCUGUCAUGCAGUUCACAAGAUAUGGUAUUGUGUGACACUAUUCUUGGGGACAUGGUUAACUUGCCCAGAUAGGAAACUGAUGACAGACAGAAGUAUAGGUGCCACCAGACUCCAACUUGAUAAACCAAUGAGUUUAUUGGAGUUACUUACAGGAGCAGAAGGGACUCAUGGACAACGAUAUCACCAAAAUCCAAACAUGGGUCACACUCCAGAAAGAUACCUGGAGCACAUGGCAGAGCAUGCAGACAACUCAACAGGCUGUCUGUCUCUUUCAGCUACAGGGCUGAUCCUGCUGAAAACGAGACUCACGAUUUGAUCACACCGGCGAGCAAUGACAACACGAUUGAAUUUGCAGCCCUGACAGAUGUGUUUUAUGAACGCUGGGGCACUGAUCAGAGAGGAGAGGAAUGCCGGGGCAUGUUAUUGAACUUGGAUGAGUCUGAAAAACAGCUGCUUCUUCCUGCCUGGAGUGAUGAGUCUCUCCCUUCCCGAGAAGCCCUUGAGGAGUUCACAGGAGUGAGUUCCCGGGAGAACACUGACUUUCUUCUGUUUGCUGCUGUCAAGAGCCUGUUCCUGUGCCCCAGGAUGUUUGUCUCAGUUUUGACCCAGGAGGAGAUCAUUAGGGGUCAUGGGGAUUUUCCCAUGACCCACUGAGAGAGGAAGAGAAAACACACCUCCGGUUUCCAAAAGCUUCUGUUUGCUACAGCAGAGCUUUUCAGACUAGCAACAGAGUCUGUUUGGUUGGCUACAGAUCCAAACAGAAGUGUGCCUAUAUCUGUUCACAGGGCUUGAACUUGGGGACGGGUGGGUGGAUCUCUCAAAAGAGCUAGUCUUGGCCCCGGCAGCUGCAGUUUGCCCAGUCCUGGUGUAAACUCCUGAAGACUCAGUUGUGGAACCAGCAAGGAGGGUGCCCACUGGCAUAUGCUUUAGACCUGUGACCCACACAGGGUGUUGUUCUAUCCAUAGUUAGACUAUGGAUCUGGAAUUAAGGAAAGAAGUGAGAACGGGUGAGGCAACAUAUUUUAGCUUGAGGCUCCAUUCCCAGGGCUCCAGGCACCACUGAAUUAGACCCUGUGUUUUCUGGGGGUCUGCAGCAGAGGGUUCUACUCGAAAUGCACUAGAGCUUAACAGGUUCUGAGUCAACAAAGAAAGGAUUUUGUACUGGUUGUAGGCAACGGAUCUGUCAAAGGAGAGUGGGUGAUGGGGACCAUGAGGGUCCAGUCUGGAGUCUCUCUGGGGACCUUUCCUGAUCUUUGUCUAGAUAAAGGACAGAAGAAAGGCAGAGCGGCAGGGGGCACAGCGUCCUCAAGGAGGACGGUUGGUUUAGCUGUCAGUGAAGAACCUCAGCUGGGGGUCUGUGUGGAAUCACAGGGAACGUAAAGCAGAUAGAAGAAGGGAGGAAAGAAGUCUGGUUGGACAAUCAGGGAGUGUAGCCAUGCUGUCUUCCCCCACUGCGUAGGAUGUGUUUAUUUGCUAAUGUUUCCAGAUUUCUCCUCUGUCCCCCGUUCUUAAUAAAUGGCAUUCAACAUUUAACCCAGUGCUAGUGAGUAUUAGGUUGCAUGGUGACUGAACUGAAAGGGGGGAAGGUGGGAAGGUGGGGGGGGUGGUCAGUGUUGCCUAUUGGGGAGAGGUGAGAAUGUUCUCGUGUGUACAGGAGAUGGCUACAAAUAGGAUGUGCCAGGGCUGCUUUUGUUUGGGAGAGCAAGGAAGCAGCUGGGUUCUGAGGGCAUGAUGCAAGCCCCCCUCCCUUUGAGGCUCUAAGAAUGAGACCUAUAUUUCCUGGGCUCAUUGUAAGCUGUCAUCUCUGCAUGAGCCAAUGAAGUCACUUAGAAGGAUAGCAGAGAGCCCCCAGCUGCGGUGGCUAGGCUCCAAGUCUGGACCCAGGUACACAGCAUAAAGGCUUUGUCUUCCUUUAGUGACAGGGCGGGCUCCUGCCCCAGCGCAGAGGCUGUAGUACUGUUCAUGACUGAAGCAAUGCCGUAACUAUUCCUUCAGCCAGUACAGGCCCUGAAUAGCUUUGUAUUCUUCCCCUCUCAGUCCUGGGUGCAGAACCUUCCUUUCUUUUCUGUUUGUUGUGCUAUUGGGGUUGAGAUGUGUCCCCACAAAGCUCAAGUGUUGGAGAGCCGAGCCCCAAACUACUUAUUAAUGGUGUCUGGAGGUUCAGUUUCUGGGAAGUGACUGGGUGUAGAAGAGGUCUUGAAGGAGACUUCAAGGUAGCAUCAGCAGAAUAAGAGAGACAUGAGCUUAAAUGAUGCUCUGUCUCCCAUGUGCCACUCUGUGUCGUGUUUAUUGUAACUGUGGUCUUUGUCAGAUGUCACUAGAUGCCAGCAGCACCAUGCUCCUGGACUUCCAAGCCUCCAGAAAUCUGAGCCAAAUGAACCUCUCUUCUUUAUAAAUUAGCCCCUCUUGGGCAUUUUCUUACAUCAGUAGGAAAUGGUCUAAGGUUUAUGCCCAGAGUUUUAUAGCGAUUGCUACAGAAUGAGACAGCCUCCAUAUGCCCCAGGCUCCAGGAUAUCUUUUUAGGUACCUUCAGCUUCCUGGCUUUUCUGAAUGUGACUGUCUGUGAGACUGUUAGGCGGUAUAUGUCUGUCUUCUAAAUAGUAAAGAAGGGUGUGUUGACUUCAGAUGGGGCUCUCAGCCUCAGACCCCUCACAAUUGAGGCAGAUAGUUCUUGCUGUGGGUCUGACAUAGGCCUCUUUCCAGAAGUCACUAGCAUCUCAGGAGUGCAUUUCCAGGCACUCCAGGGCCGUUGGGAUACUUUCCUUGGGGGUAAGAAACACUAGGUGAGGAAGCAGACAGAGACGGGGCAUUUUCUCAAAACAGAGGUGGCACAGUGGAGUUCUGGGGCAUAGGGACAUGAAAUAGCAUCUUAAAAAAUGAGGACAAUUUUUAAUUUCAAAAUAA